rnacentral:lncRNA from 1 species
AAAGGAUCAAAACAAUUUGUCCUUUAGAGUUUUUGGGCCUUAACGUAAAAACGUAAACUUUUAGGCCAAAGUGCAAAUACACAAAAGUAUCAAAACUUUAUGUAAUUACAUAAAAGGCCCCAAAAGUACCCCCACUAGGGGGUGGCCGGCCUUUAGAGAAGAUAUGAAAAAUUUUCUAAAAAGUUUUUGCAAGUUGAUUUUGGUGGGUGAGGUAAAGGUGAAAUUGAUGGUUUGUAAGAAAACUUAAAGUCUGACAAACAUUAAAACCAUUUCAUCACAUCUCACCAAUAACCAUCAACCAUCAAAUAAUAAACCAAAACUUUAUGAAAAACAUAAAACUUUUGAAUCAAAACUUCAAACCUUUUUUUUCUUGGCAAGAACUUCAAGAACAUUGAAGAACACUCAUGAAAACUCAUAAUAGCUCCAUGAAUGUUUUCACUCACCAAAACUCAAUUUUUCACCACUCAAAACAGGGCUAAUAUCCUAGGGUACUUAGGGGUUCCAAAAGUCACUUUAAAACCAUUUUAACAAGACAAACAUGAACCCAAAAAUCACCCUUUGGAUUUGGCCGAAUUUCCCAACAUACAUGGCACCAAAUUUUAGUUCCAAUAUUCAUGCUU